GAUGAACGCUGGCGGCGUGCCUAAUACAUGCAAGUCGAGCGAAGCGGGGACGGGUGAGUAACACGUGGAUAACCUCCUAUAAGACUGGGAUAACUUCGGCAAACCGGAGCUAAAACGGAUACUUAUAGAUUGAUCCGCGCGGCAUUAGCUAGUUGGUAAGGUAACGGCCUACCAAGGCAACGAUGCAUAGCCGACCUGAGAGAGUGAUCGGCCACACGUGAACAGAGACACGGUCCAGACUCCUACGGGGGGCGGCAGUAGGGAAUCUUCCGCAAUGGGCGCAAUCCUGACGGAGCAACGCCGCGUGAGUGAUGAAGGUCUUCGGAUCGUAAAACUCUUUUAUUAGGGAAGCGGUACCUAAUCAGAAAGCCACGGCUAACUACGUGCCAGCAGCCGCGGUAAUUC
rnacentral:rRNA from 1 species